CCAGCCCAAAUCUCCGACCCGGCCCACUCCUUAUCCCCUUCCCAAAAGAAAAUUCAUCAACAUUCUUUUCCCCUUCACACGAUAAUAACGUGCAACAACAAUGCGUAGCAACCCGAAAUUCCCAGCGAAAAAAACCUACAAGCCAGUUGUGCGUGAUAUUCUUCCUCCCCUGUUCCUGUCUUCAUAUGGCUACAGCAGUAGAAAGUACCAGAAAGGCACACGAUUUGCGUCCUUGCAUCCUCCAGAUGGAGCUACGUCACAACAAGGACGCUUGGGAUCGCUCCCAAGCAUCUGUUCCCCUUUCUUCUUCUAGUUUGAGUCGAAUUUUCAGAAAAAGAUUCCUGAUCAAAAAAUGGAAAAAGUGUUUUUGAAUUGAAAUGGGAAUGGGCCCAAUCUCCUCUGUUUUCACCCCCAAAAUCGAAACCUAGUUUUCCCUAUAUAUACUAUCUUUGGAUUCACUGUUAAGGGGGAUUUUUUUUCGGUUGGCUUCUUUCUUUUGGUUUGAGAUUUCUGGAAAAAUUGGGAGAGAUUCUUGUAGUUGAAAGAAAAAAAAUUAGAAGUGAGUUGAGGCAAUUUUAACUAAGGGAGAGAGGAUAGUUCAAGUAGUUAGUCAAAAAAAUACAUGUAAAAUACAUUCGAGAAAGGGUAAACUAGGCAUUUUUGCUUGCUAUUGUAUUCGUGAUUAUGUGGUGGAACUCUCCGUCAUUACCCUGCUUAUUCUUGUCUUGGUCGCUGCUUUUGAAAAGGGUCCUCAUAGACUUUGGCUUGACAUCUUCCUUUGGGCUAUGGAGGCCCAAUUCCUUUUACUCGAGUCAAGCCUACAAAAUCGAUGAACAGGUCCCGAAGGAAAGGAAACCAAAGUGGAAAAAGUUGAAGAGAGUGAGCCAUAAGAGUCCAAUUGUUUUUUUAAAAUUUUGUAUUUUGCUAUGUUGGGCCUAAGCCCCCUUAUUUUUUUUUAUCAUUAUUGUAUUCUGAGAUUCCUAGGAAAGGUAAAAAAGUGGGCCUAACGCCCAAAUCAAAACGAAAUGGGUCCAAAUAUCGGUUCAGGUGGACUGAAAUACGAUUUGGACUCAAUUCUCUCUCCCUCACUUUUACUUUAACGCGUAUUUACUUGUUAA